rnacentral:rRNA from 1 species
GUAGUCGGAGGUGUGUCUCGGGCGGUUGGUUCGCCGCUUGUCGGUGUUCAACUGGCCGGUCCGGACGUCCUGCCGGUGGGGCCGCGAGGCUCCGUCAUCCUUCUUUGGUCCUCUUCACCGAGUGCCUUGGUGGGCCGGCACGUUUACUUUGAACAAAUUAGAGUGCUCAAAGCAGGCCGUUGGUCGCCUGAAUACUGUGUGCAUGGAAUAAUGGAAUAGGACCUCGGUUCCAUUUUGUUGGUUUUCAGAACUCGAGGUAAUGAUUAAUAGGGACGGACGGGGGCAUUCGUAUUGCGACGUUAGAGGUGAAAUUCUUGGAUCGUCGCAAGACGAACCGAUGCGAAAGCAUUUGCCAAGAACGUUUUCGUUGAUCAAGAACGAAAGUUAGAGGUUCGAAGGCGAUCAGAUACCGCCCUAGUUCUAACCAUAAACGAUGCCAGCUAGCCAUCCGCCGAAGUUCCUUCUAUGACUCGGCGGGCAGCUUCCGGGAAACCAAAGCUCUUGGGUUCCGGGGGAAGUAUGGUUGCAAAGCUCAAACUUAAAGGAAU